UCUCAUCUACAAACACCGCAUUUGCUGUUCCUCUUGCAGAGCCCACCUCAGCAAGGCGCCGUUCCCAAAUCCUGCUCCUGCCCAUGGAGCUGGGGCUUGGGCUGUCCCUGCCCCCCGGACACAUUUUAUUGCAGCUGAGCUGGACGAGAUGGUUUGCACACAUGCCCCUCGUGGUGCACAAGUUGUGGACAUGAUUACGCCCUGUGUUGCACGGGAUAAACCCCCGGGUUCAGAGCACGAACGUCCCACCAGCCACGGCUGGUGCUCCUCCUGCCUGGCAGCCAGCGGAGGGGCUUCAAAUCCCGUCCCCCCGGUUCCUAGGUUAACUGGGUUUUGGUUGUGGAGCGGGGACAGCCGCGUGCCACGUCCAGGGCUGCUUUUGAGGGCAGCAGGACCGCCCCGUGCCGCCCUUUCAAACCUCCCCUUCCCGGCAGACCUGGGGGGCGAGGACGCGGGUGGCAGGUGGCAGGGAGCACGGAAGCGCUGGGAGAAACGUGCCAGGGUUUCCUCGACUGCCAAGCGCGCAGAUUGGCCCAGACCGGACAGAUUUCGUUCUGCUCCCAGCCCGACCGUGCAGUCACGUGAAGGAAGAGAAAAGGAAUGUGCCAGGCCGGGUGCCAGCCUGCGGGGGAAAAGGUCAGUGGGUUUUGCUGACCCGUACGGCGGCCAGCUGCUUGUUUCACCUGCGCCGAGAGCAGAGGGGCCGACAGGCCAGGAGGUGCAGGACCCGGGGGAGAAGAACCCCCAGUAAGAACGUGAGGGCUCCAUGGUAUGAACCCAAUGGGGUUUGUUGAUGAAAUCAACCCCCCGAGGUGAUAAAACGGGUCUUUAUCCACCCCUUAGGGUGAAAAGUAUGGACUCGGAGGAAACGUGUUCAGGCCUACGUGGGCGUUACGACAAAGUGAACUCUCACAAACUUUUUUUGCAGCGUUUUUCUGGCUCCGAUCUGCAGCUAUGCUCGCCUUCUGUUGGUGUCAGCAGAACGGAUUUCGGAGCCGCAAGUCCUGAGGUGUUUAACUGCUUGUGUGCCAGCCCGUGAUCCGUCGCCUCGGAAACAAAAAGUGACAUUAAGAUGGGAAAAGUGGGUAAAUGAACCUGAAAAUCCACGUGCUGGUCCCCGUCCUGCCCGAGCCACGGUGAACAAUGAGGGCUGCUUUAGGGCAACAUUUUCGGAAAUCUGCUGGAAAUUUGAGGACUAAAAUGGACAUUGGCCUUAAAAUGUCAGUGUGUCAGCAUCUUGAAAACCUCACACGGGUAUUAAAAAAACAUAAUUUUUCAGUAUCAUUAACGGGCUUUUGAGAUCUUUCGAAAGAAAGGCAAAGAAGAGAAAUAUCAUGGCUUUCACUCCAAAGCUAUUUCCUCUAAAAAUGAAUAUCCCCUGUUUUUCCUAACAGUUAUUCUUUAGCCUCCUUGGUGACUUAACCUCUCCUAGCACUGCGUCUGGCAUCUGGUUAGCUGCAUUGUUUUAUCGAGCGCUGGGAAUGGAAGCUUUUAAGAUCUCCUCUCUGAGCUCUCAGAAAUCUCGCCUCAUCAGCAUGCUGCUCUUGGCAGGCGGCUUUUUCUUCAGCUCCAAGACAUGCAUAUUGAUCAGUCAUUUUCUUUUGUUACCUAGCAUCUUGUCAUCGAUUUUAAUUGUUGGGUAUUGAAGAGGAAGCAUUCAGCACACGUAGAAUUGCCGGCUAGGAAAUCUUGCUUUCUGCACCUCUCGCCAGACGGUGCGCGCAGUUAAACCCUCAGGAGCCGUGGAUCUCUCUCUCUCUCUCCUAGCAAUCUGCACAAAUUAUGCAGCAGUCGAUUUUUUUCUAUUAAAUCAAUUUCUGAUCCUCUAUGACAGCUUUCCCUGCCGCCUGAUUUCACACUUCAGCAGUUUGUUUCUGAGGUGCCAUGCGGGUUUUUUUUUUUCCAAAGGGGUGGUGACGGUAGUGCAUUUAACUCACAGAUAUGUUGCUCGUGCCUCCCCAGUUCCCUUCUCCUACUUAAACGAUUUGUACAGCUUCAGGUGACUGCAAAUGAAAGGACUCCUACUGAGCCUCCUUCUCCAUUUCUCUGUUCUCUGGGGAGGUUUGAGUGCUUUCCUCACUACCGAGACAUCAAGAUGCUCAAGGCGUCAACUCCCAGAUUCUCGGGGAUCCAAACAGACCUCAGCAAGAGCAUGCAACUGCAAAACGGCCUCGGAUUUUAGAUGACAUGACGCUUCUGGCUCUUCUCUGGCUCCUUGUCAGUCCACAGGGCUUCUCCUGAGUUGUUCCCUGAAACUUCCUCUCCUGCUGCUGAAAUGGAGCAGUUUCUCUAAGACAAAAGUACAGGUUGAACCUAUGUCUGAUGGGGACAUGAAUCUUCACAUCCCCACGAUGCAAAAUAUCAAAGUAGAGAGCUGGUGGCAUUCAUUAACUCUUCUUCUUCCUGCAAAAUACCUUCUUUUACUUAGAUAGUUCCUAUCUCCUGCGCUCUCAGAGAGCUUUCACUAUAAAUGUUUCCUGAAGGCUCUGUUUGUAAGGACAGUGGGAUCCUCCUACUGUCUCCCUGAUUCUAGGUUUUCCUUGACUUUAGAUACACAAAAAGCCAUCCUAUUUUUGGCAGCCCGCAGUCAGUGACAUAGGAAUUCAUGAGUAGGGAGGAAAGGAUGUGAACUAUCCAAACAGAUUUUUUUUUUUUCAAAUGAGAUCUCUUUACAUUCCUAUCGACAUAGUAAUAAGCAAUGAGUCACUGUUACACUGAACCAUUAAACUAUUAUUGUAAACUCAUGUCAUUAGAAUCUGUUAAUGUGAACCACUAACCUUGCUUGGCCUCGGCGUAGCUGGAUUCAAGAAGAUAUCAUCCAUUUAUAAGGGUAAGAACAAUAUUCCCUUACACUUCUCAUUCCCAGAUGGCAAAAAAUAAACGAAAUCUUAUUCAGCCCUAUCUUUUCUAUUUCUAGGGUUUCUCUUCUCACUGCCUUUUAAAGUGAAUUCAUCUUGCUUCCUCGUAACGUCACAAAAGAUGUUUUAUUUUAUUUCUUCAAAGUUUGCCAGCUGUAAAUGGGGCAGAUUUGGCCUGGGCACUCCCAGCUGCCAGAAUAUCCAUACAGUAUCACCUGAAAGCAGCAGUGUCUCUCCCCAGAGACUGCUUUCUUUGUUCAGUCCUGCCACGACCAGCCCUCAAGAUACGAUUGGAGGAAGUGAGAGAACGGUGCAGCGUUUCUGCUGAGGGGCAGUGGGAUGGGAUAAGGAGUGUGUUUGCAGAGCGAAAUUUGGUUUCAGUGCACACGCUGUAAGAACCAGAAUCCACCUGUUAGAACCGGGCCUUCAGCUACUUGACUUCAAAGUGACCUCAGAGUUUCACUCAAAAAGUACGGGAAACCCAAGUGUGAGAGCUUCCCUUGGCCUGCAGCCUUCCUACCUGAAAGAAGUCCGGAGUUUUUCCACUUCUCGGUCUCUCCUAAAGCCUGGAGGUGGAUACACAGGAAACUGUUUUUCCACUUCAGAUUUCUACUAAAAUGUCUUGUUAUUACAACAAACCACUUGAUUCAGCAGCACCACUUCACAGGCUGUUUUAUAAAUAGAGACAUUUCCUCUGCCCUGAAGAGCUUACAACCUACACGAGACAGACAAAAUACAGCAAAUCAGGAAAAGUAGGAUGAGCAGAAUGUUAAUGGUGAAACAGGAGAAGGUGCUGCUUGAAGGUGUGAAGUGGGCUAAGGAUUAAGAUCUUCGUGGAAGACAGCUCCCUUUUUUCAUCCUUCAUCAGACUGCUAUUGAAACAACUCGCUGAAUGAACGAACGAAUGAGUGAAUGAAUGCAACAGCAACGUCUGACUUUUGAGGGAUCCAAAAUGUUCAUUUAAAAUUUCAUUAAAUGGUCAUUUAAAAAAUAUUACAAAAUCUGUGGGAUCCAGAUUUUACACGAAUGAGAGAUUUUGGUUUAAAUAUAUAGACGUGCGUAUUUCACUGCAGACCUGAAAAGUGAAAAUACCCCAUUCACUUGUAUACGUUCAAGUGGCCACUGGUGGUCUUGUCAGUUCACAUUUCAGAUUUUAAUUUUGAUCAAAGCCCGUGCUAAUUCAUAAAGAACGGGGUUCAUCG